rnacentral:rRNA from 1 species
AGAGAGAGACAUGCGCGCAUAUCAAUAAGCGGAGGAAAAGAAACUAACUAGGAUUCCCUCAGUAACGGCGAGUGAAGCGGGAAGAGCUCAAAUUUGAAAUCUUCAAGGUUCUACCUUGACGAAUUGUAGUUUAAAGAAGUGUUUUCUGUUGAAGUUUUGGUAAAAGUUCUUUGGAAUAGGACAUCAUAGAGGGUGAGAAUCCCGUAUUUGACCAUUAUUUCCAGCUUUGUGAUACACUUUCAAAGAGUCGGAUUGUUUGGGAAUGCAGUCCAAAAUGGGUGGUAAAUUUCAUCUAAAGCUAAAUAUUGGCGAGAGACCGAUAGCGAACAAGUACCGUGAGGGAAAGAUGAAAAGAACUUUGAAAAGAGAGUUAAACAGUACGUGAAAUUGUCAAAAGGGAAGCGUUUGACACCAGUGUUGUUUUCUCGAAAAUCAAUUAAAAAAGGCAGGAUUUUGUGUUGUAUUGACUUUAUCAGCUUUCUGCACCUCUUUUCUUGUCUUUUUUAAUGCACUUUUCGUUUAACAAGUCAACAUCAAUUUCUUUUGUUGUAAAAGGGUCACUUGGAAGGUGGCUUUCUUUUCGGAGAAAGUGUUUAUAGCCUUUGGCCUCUGCAAUCGGAGAGAUUGAGGUCUGCAGCGUAGAUCCUUCGGGGUUAGAUACAUUUGUGCUAAGUUAUAGCCUUUCAUAGACAACUUGUUGACUAUGAUCAGUCAUGUAGCUUACUCGCUUAUGCUAUUUUACCUACGCUUAGGAUGUUGAUGUGAUACUGCGAGCA